AUGUCGGACGGAGGGGAGGUGGAGUAUGGCGACUUCCAUGACCAUGAUCUCGAGGGCCAGUUUGCGGGGAUGAGGCUGCACGGGAAGGAGGAAGAAGACCUUGAUUUCUCAGAAGAGGUAGAAGAUUUAAUAAAGGACGUCCGUUGGCUUGCUUUGUUUCCUGUUCAUACCACAAAGCCUUUUAGUCAUGCGGCGCUCCUGACUCAGAUGCGCAAUGCGUGGUCGGUGGCACAAGGGGCCACCUUCAACAUUAAGGGGCCUAACCUUUUUCUUGUCCAGUGUCAUUGUCUGGGAGAUUGGAGGAAAAUUAUGGAGGGAGGGCCAUGGUUAUUUAGAAGGGCUUCAGUGGUGAUAGAGGAGUAUGAUGGAUUUUCAGAUGUGAAUGAGUAUAGUCUCAACAAGAUCCCGUUGUGGGCUCGUGUGAAGGGCUUAUCUGAUGGCUUAACAAGGAGGAAAGAGCUGGCUAAAAAGGUUGCUGCAAAGGUGGGUGAGCCUCCCUUCAAGGUGAUCGUCAACGAGGGGAGAAUCAAUCCAGCAAGCAUCCUUCGUGCCCGUGUUUUCAUGGAUGUAAACGCUCCACUAGUCCGUUUUGUCCAUAUAACUCUGAAGGAACGAAAGAAGUAUAGUGUCUACUAUGAAAAACUUCCAGACUUUUGGUUUGCAUGUGGCUUGAUAGGGCACUUGGCUGAUGAGUGUGGGUAUGGGGUGCAUGAUCCCAGAACAUUUGAAUGGGGGGACUGGCUGCUAUGGGAGCUAGAGAUUCCAGCGGGUAGAGGAAGGGGGAGAGAGACUGGAAGGGGUGACCGUGGGGGACAAGGAGGAAGGGGGACAACGGUGGAUAGAGGUAGAGGUGGGGCUCAAGAAGAUAACUCACAGCCGGCGCAACAAAUGGACUUGGAUGUUGAAAGAGGAGCUCGUAAGCGGCUUGUUAGUGCCGAUGGUUCGAUCACUAUCAGGGGGCAACCGAUAUCAAACCUCGCUGGUAAGGUUGCUGGAACGGUCAUGUUGCUGGAGGGUGCGACUCCAAGCUCUAGCAAUAGUGCUCCGGUAUCUACACCAGGGAAGAAUCCUAUAGUUAAGAGGAGGAGGCAGCAAGGUGAUGAUGGGAAGGACAUGGAGUUAACUAUGGAGGCGGCCUCCCUUGAGGAGGGCCGCCGAGCGUGA
rnacentral:rRNA from 1 species